rnacentral:rRNA from 1 species
GACGAACGCUGGCGGCGUGCUUAACACAUGCAAGUCGAACGGUGAAGCUCCAGCUUUCUGGAGUGGAUCAGUGGCGAACGGGUGAGUAACACGUGAGCAACCUGCCCCUGACUCUGGAAUAAGCGCUGGAAACGGCGUCUAAUACUGGAUACGAGAAGUGUCCGCAUGGGCACUUUCUGGAAUGUUUUUCGGUUGGGGAUGGGCUCGCGGGCUAUCAGCUUGUUGGUGAGGUAAUGGCUCACCAAGGCGACGACGGGUAGCCGGCCUGAGAGGGCGACCGGCCACACUGGGACUGAGACACGGCCCAGACUGCUACGGGAGGCAGCAGUGGGGAAUAUUGCACAAUGGGCGAAAGCCUGAUGCAGCGACGCCGCGUGAGGGAUGACGGCCUUCGGGUUGUAAACCUCUUUCAGAAGGGAAGAAGAGAAAGUGACGGUACCUGCAGAAGAAGCACCGGCUAACUACGUG